CCUCUGGUCUCUGUAUUCCUUAUGCAGUGCAGGAGGAAUACUUGCUUCCAGUGCAGAGCAUCAGAAUAAAAGGAUGUCUCUGAGAAGAAGGAUGGCUUCCUUCUGCUGCCUUAGGCCAAGAAGAAUGUUUCUCCGGAGAUGAUACAGAUAACUACAGUUCUGUAGUGACCGAUGCCAUCUACACAGUAUCCUUGAUCAUGGCUAAAGGGGAAGAAGAAUGGACAAGUGAUUGAGAGGUCUCCUGAGUACACCAUGAGGCAAGAAGGGAAGAGAGGAGUUUAUUUUAAUGCUGCUGAGCUGAGUGACUCAGGACAUUGCAUAGUGACCAUAGGAUAUGCAAGACAAUGACCCUAAUGGGCAGUAGAGCAGUUCCAGUGUAACUGUGGAAGGUAAGCAUGAAUGACUCAAGAGAAGAAGAGAAGGAGGAAUAGUUGUCUUUACACUGUUGUUCAGUGAACUCCGCAGUGGAGCAGUACUGCUUUGCUGUAACAUAUAGGAAACCAAUGUAAAAUUAUGCUGCUCUGCAGUCUUUUUAUUGUUUUACACGGAAUAGGACACUAGUCUGUACCUCCUCUUGGUAGUAUGAAGGUAAUAAUGAGGGACUUCCCUUUGCUGUAUGAAGUGGUAGAAGGAUAAAGCAGUAAAUCUUCCAUUUAAGUCCUUACACCUGUCACCUAAACCAGCUUAGUAAAGUGUAUCAUGUUUUUUAUUUUAAUCAGGGUUUCUCUAAGGUAUUCUCAUCCUGGUUCUUCAAAGUGACCCAUGGGACAUUUGACUGCAGUCUGCUGAGGACCAGGAACAAAACACAAGACUGGGAUUCUGGCAUGCCACCUUCUCAGCUCCAGCCAGCCGAGAUGCUGUGACACAUGCCAGGAAACCAAACCUGACCCAGUUACCUCUCUGAUCUCAAGAGAAAGACUCAUCUGUGGUGUGACUCUUCUAACCAUGAUGGAUUUUAGUCAAGGAAUAAGGGCUUCCCAGUGCACGGGGCUUAAGCUGUACGUGAAUAAACAAAACAUGUGCCCCAGCAACCCAUUACUAAAUAAAGAGGAUAACAGCUGGACUGUGGCAUCCCUUUAGGACUGACAACAUACUCACCAUGAAUGAAGUAGCCCUGCUCCUGCCAGAUGAGAAAGGCAUCUCCCACUGCCGAGAAUAUGAGUCCCGCUAGGAUGCGGCUGGCACUCCGGUGUGACACUAAGAAGUUAAUUCCAUGGGCCAGAAGGAAAACCCACAGGCAAAAGAUGGGCAGACAUUUAAUGAGAGCACUGAACCAGGAGGGGCUGGAAGUUGGCAGCCAGAGGACAAAAUAGACACAAGUGGCUUUAAAGAAGGGCACCAGUUUGGGACCUUCGCUCUUCACCUAAAGAAAACAAACAUUAAAAAAGAUAAAUUAAUAGGAUCAUCAGAAGCAUCAACUUCAUAACAGAACUGUCUCCUUCCUUUUGAAAGCUAAUCUUUCAUGUAUACUGUCAGCUAGCAGCGUUUCUACCCUGAGAACUGCUGAUUGAACUUGACCACAAUUCUCAGCCUAGACCUUUGUGAUCGUCUCUGCUGAACACUUCUCAGCUGUCAGGAUGGGGUUUGGGUGGUGGACUUGGAGGAAGUUUUAAAUACCUUUUCUCUUUAUUUGGUUCUACUGAAAACAUUCAGGCCAUCAGUCAAACUCCUCUGGUGCUCCUUGACACCUACCUUGUGUUUAGACUAAUCUCUUUAUACACCUUUCCGGAGCUGUGAAAAUACUCCACCCCCAGAUAUAUCCCAGCAGCAAACAAACCAGAAAAAGUGCAAAUCCUCCCUUCCAUUUUCACAAAUCCUCACGCUUAGCCAGUAGCAGAUCACCCUGAGGAUACAACCUCUCUUCUAAGGCAUUCUUUCUCCUGCCCUGAAGCCUCAUGCCUGGAGCUUGCUGUUGGCACCACCACAUGACUUCAAAACCCGUCACAUCAGCCUCACAGGUGAGGAUGUCAUUUCCUCAGCUGACUAAUACCAACAUUAACCACGUGUUGCUUUGUUCUAGCAUUACAGUAAUAAUACAGAACCCAUACUGCAGGAAAUGUUUUGACUCAGGGCUCUAUUGUGUAAAUACACAAAAAUGUAGCAUGAGCACUUAGCUACCCAUAACAAAGCCACAGCAGGGGCAGGGCACAGAGCUACAGGCUCCACAAGCUGGGUCUGCUCUUGAUAUACAUUUAGCUGAGAACGCUCUGUACAAUGAUAACAUAUGUAUUGUGAUCACCUGCCCUCCUGUUAUAAUUCUGCAUUUCAGUGCAGGUGGGGAAAACUUCACACGAGAAACAAAGCUAUGAUUUUAUUUUCUCCUGAAGAGCAGCUGAGGGCCAAAAUAAGGAUCAAAGGGACGGGACUGCCUCCUGUGCCUGACUGAGCUAUGUCCUGGGGUCUAACAGGAGGCCUGUUUCCUCCUGCACCUAAGGCAGUGCAACAUCCAGAGCUCCUCUGCAAGCAGAGGUUUACUCUCAACCUUCCCAUUUCUUUGGUCAAGCAAGACUUAGUUGCUUAGUAUCACAACAACUUCCCUCUACUCAUGGCCAAAGCACACAGAGGCCUCAUGCACUGGAGGAGGACAUGGGAAAAUUUAGAGGCAUCAAAGUUGAUUUCACUCUGCAGAGUCCAACUGGUCUUUUUUUUUCCAAAUCACUUGGCCCUAUUUCUGCUUCCUUGCAUCAUGGGACAUUGCCAUGACACAAAAACAGCAUCCAUCUUCCUUUGAUGCAGUGUGCCUUGAUGCAGGCACCUAGAACAGAUGAAGACUGCACAGGAAAUAUUCUCUGCUUACAGUGCUCAGGUAAUAAAGCCUAAUCUCAUAAAAAUUCUGGAGCUUUUACAGACACAAGCAAAUCGAAUCAGGUGAAGCUGGAAGACAGAGGCAGAGGCAGUGGAGGGCAUCUUCACAUGCAGUAUCUAAAAAGGGAAUGCAAUCUCAGAAGCAGUGAGGCUAUAAAUAAAGGGCAUCCCAAGAAGACAGUGCCUUCAAAAUUGUUCUCACAUCUGAUGGAAAUUUCCCCAGCAUAUCAGCAGUUUCUUGGCAGUAAGGUAUUUCAUUAUACAUUAUUCAUAGGCUAUUGCCAACACAAUUUUUAAACACUCCAUUAAACAACCAGGCUACACAAUUCACUAACAAAAGGACAUCAGCAAGCCGUUAACUUUCUUGUAUUACAUGAGGAGCUGUUGUGAGUCCUCUACUUAGGUUGUCUAAAUUAAUCACCAUUUACCACUCCUUGUCUGUAUUCCUUGGGAAAAUUCUGGCAGCAAAUAACAAAUGAACUUAAAAGUUAGAAAAGCUCAUGUAGUCUCAUAGUACUGGGGUUGCCUGGGAACUAUCAAGUAUCAUAAAGGAAAGAGUGCAGCCAAGCUUCCCCCUCCUUCAGACCCAGCACCUUGCUUUCCUAAAGUGACACAUCAGGCUCUGACUGUCCAAAGCCAGUGCUCAGCUCCAGCUCUGCUUCCUGCCCUUCUGACUCUCUUUUAUUAAAAUGUAGUUGAUCACAUUCAUCCUCUCACAGUUGGAGGCAGCAGAUGACAGUGUUUCUGGCAGGGUUUUCUCCUCUCCCCCGCAAGUCGUGGAGGAUCCCCACCACGCCGUAAUGAGCCUGAGAUCUUCAUCGUGGAAAACUAACAACCUCCAGAGCUACGCAGUGCGAAAGAGUUGGCAGCAGCAACAGUGCUCCAGGCUCAUGUAACAGUCUCAGCUAGGGUAAGUAGUUUUGUACCUCUGAAGAAAAAAGUUUAUGCUGAAAGAUUUAGUUGAAGUUCAGGCUGUUUGCAACACAUCACAGUGGCACUGUUAGAAGCAUACAGGAGAGUAUUUGGGUUAAUAAACAUGGGAAGUUUUAUUUAAUACCUCAUAUUAACAGAAAAACACCUGCUAGGAGCAGUUACCAUUACAAUCACAGCUUGCCCUCCCCUGUGUGCAUGCAUGAUGAGACAGGUUUUAAUUACACUUGUAAUUUCCCCAGGAACCCUGCCUUACUGAAUGUAAGAUAUGCCCUUGUGCGGAAUGAUUAUGUUUGAUUAACUUAAAAUUACCAUUUCUUACUAUCUGAAUGUGAAUUUUGCAAGCUCAGCCAGCAUUAUUUUAAAAUAAUGAUUUGUAUUAUUUCCAUGCUAAUAGUAAUUAAGGAAUUUUUCAUAUAUAAGGGGUCAGAUUCCAGUCUCAGUUAAGCACCAGUUAAACGAUUUACAGUGUUACAGAGUCCCCAAGUAAGAAUGAUCUCAUAUAUCUAAAAGGGCUACAGGCUUCUCAUCACUGAAUUGACACUAUUUCUUUACAUCUUUUCUACAAGUAUACUUCAGAUGAGUUAUUUCCAACCCUACUCUUGCCCAUCACUGAAUGCUGCAGCUCAGUGGAGCCCCUGUUACAGCUCUGACCAAAAUGAGGGACAGCACUUGCUGAGACAGAGGUACCUGUGCAGCUGAGGGGUGGGCAGCACAUCCCGCUGGGAUAUACUUGGGAGAAGUCCUUCAAGAAUAACUGAGGCAGCCAGAGGGUGAGGCUGGGGAUUACCCUCCAUUUGGACAUGUGGCUGAGCCUUGGAAAGGACAAGUCAAGGCUGGUAUUGGGAAACCAUGUACCAACAUGACUGGAGGCUGUGGCUUGAGGAAAGCAGGGCAUAUAAUCCAUGACUGGACUUGCCUGUACCUCAGGGAAGGGAACAUUAUUUCUUGGUUGCAUGGAUAAAUUGCAUCAGAGAUGGAAUGUGAGAUGGGGACAUGCUGUGGUAUUGGAAAAGAAAGCACAUGACAGAGGUGACAAAAUCCUUUAUGGUAAUGCAUGUGAUUGUCAUGGCUUUCAGCUGGGUUUUGCCAUUUUGUUAUAAAUUUAUUGCAUUUUCCCCCAAUUCUUUUCUCCUUCCACCGCUUAUUUACUCCAUACAGAAAUGCAGUACAGAAAACAUUUUGAAUACAAUAACAAGGCAGUAUUUCCAAGUUUUGAAUUUCUAAACUGACCAUAAUUUAGGGAAUUUUCUCAACUGCUACGACAAUUAAGUUACCUAGAGUCUUGAGAAAUUAGUUUAAACUACUGUAAAGCCAAAAAAUUUACAGCUGGCUCCUUUACUCCAGAAUAAGUCCCAUCCACAGAGGAACAGCUACAUUCAUAAGACAGUGCCCUGAUUUUCUUUAACAUUUUGGAGCCAAUUGUCUGUAUCUGUAUCACGAGUGGAAUGAAGAAAAUCCAGCUGCCACAGGGAGGGAGAUAUCUUCUUCCUGAGGUACAGAAGAACAUCAGAAGUUUGUUGCAUUGAAAUGCUAAAGUCGGACGAAAAGUCCUUGCUAAAGUCCUAAGCCAUGCAUUGGUCCCAGGAAACAACAUGGAGUAUCAAUGCUCUUCUCUCCACAAAGUCUCCUAAAUCAGCCUGCACAGAAAAUAUGUAUACAGACACCUGCUGUGCACCAACCUGCUGUGGGGAUAUGGCUCAUACCCACUGGGCUGUAAAAUGCUGCUUCCCAGGAAAAGUACUUUAAAAAUAAGACACCAGCUAUUCUACAGAGCAACACUUAAGUACAACUGUGUGCACUGGCCAAAAAAAAGCUGAGUCGUUGUCCUUCACCCAUCCAUCCCAGCAGCCUUGGCUGGCCAAGUACCAUUUUGUGUAUCGACAUCUGAGCUGCUUCUCCUGGCUUUUGGCAUGGAUCCUGUCUUGGUUCUGCCCUAAUGUGACAAUAGCUCUCACCCCCAGUCAUGUGCUAAUAAAUAUUUAUUUGGCUUUGUUGCCAUGUUUGCUGCCACUUCAAGCCCGGGGCUCAUGCUUCUCAUUCCCCAGAAUAUGUGGCACUCUGCAAAGCACUGACCAUCCUCUGUGCAGUCUGAGUCACAGAGGGGGAGAGUUGCUUCAACCUGGGGAUGGACCACAAUUAGGAUAAAGUACAUGUAUGUGCUACAGGUUCUCAUCUACAGAGCAAUGGGGAACCAACACAAUUCACCAUCGGACUGAGCCUACAGAAAACCCACCUUCGUGCACAGAUCCUAGCCAGGGGCAGCUGUUUUCCUCAGGAAUUCAACAACCUACCACUUUUUGCUAAACCAAGGAGGAAUGCAGCAGUGCUGGGCAAUUCCUGGCCAUUAACCCACGUGAGUGGACUGCAAAGCUCCCAUCCUCAUCCUCCUGGGCUUGCUUCCACAUUCCCACCUUUGCUCAGAUGGUGCAACAUCAAGCCUUUGAAUGUGUACACUCUGAUAUAAAAGAGGGAAUUUUUAGGCAGGGAGCCAGAUUGCGUAAUAGUGAGGAUUCAGCUGUUUGGUACCCAAAUUCACCAUUUACACCUUCCACACAAACCAAAGGCCCCAGUGGCUACUCUGGCUGCUCAUGUCUGCACCCCUCCUGGCAGCUUGCAGAGAUGAGCGAGCAGGAGACAGAUGAGAGGUAAAGUGAUCGGCCAGUCAGCGCUUUUUAUUCCAGAGGGUUGCUGAAAUAUUAGGGCUGGCUGGGACAGCCCUAACUGGUACUCACCUAACUGAUGACUGUAAGUGAGCACAAAGCACUUCCAACUCUGCUCUCCUGCAGGAGCAAACAUGCUCCCGGGGGAUAACUGAUUGCCUAUCACAUUUUGUCACAGAAGGCAUUGGCUCAUACAUGCCCCAAGUUGUUCCUGAAUAAAAUUCUAAGAAAAAAUGCUUGUUAUGGAGGGUAGUGGAGAGUUACUGAACCAGCCAGUCAACCUGUCUGAAAUACUCUGUUGGUGCAAUACACUUUUGCAAUUAAUAAGAGUGUUUAUGUUUGUGUUGGAGAUGCCAUGGCCAGGCAUCUGAGGCAGAUGGCUCCUGAACAGGCUCCACAUGCUGCAGGAAAUUGAGGGUGAUAGAUAAACCCUCUUCUCCUCAAAUGGAGCCAAGAUCGUAGAGGCUCCAUCUAAAAUGGAUUUGUAAAAUAGCAAAUAAGUCACUCAGAACAUGGUACAUGAUUUGCCUUUAGGAGAAUGUGUGUGCUGAUGAUCCUCUGUCUUCAUCAUGUUUAUGUCAUGCAAUGAGUUUCGCCAAGUCUUGUAGUGCCCUAUUGCAGCUUCUGGCACUCCCCAGCACAACUCAGGGCCUCCAUUUCUCUCACAAGGGUAAUGCAGUGAAACUGAGCUUGUGCUCAGCUGUUCAGUCAGACCUGUUUACAAGGAAUCAAAAAAUCAUGAUUUUGUCUGACAGGAGCCUCUGUUGUUCAGCACAAGCCAAAAGUAAUGGGGCUCUGCCUGAAUGCUUCCUGCCUGCAAAAGGACCAUCCUCCCAGCUCAGACACAUGUGUGUCCAAGGCAGCUCUUCCACCCACAGGGUCUCUUCAGCUGCAAAAUAGGGCUGGUGUGUUGGCUUCUGUCAUCUCUCCCUCUACCCCAACAGCCUGGGUACUCUCUUUCUCCCCUCAGUUAAGCAAAGUAAGGUCCAGCUGUACUUCCAUGCUUUGGUCCACAACAGACUAACACAGGGUUGAGAGCUAGAAAUAUUCAGCUUCUUUUUCUUAAGACCAAGAUACGGCUUUUUGCCAGAAAAGUACGAUUAAAAGGUUGGCACGGGCCCUCACAGUUCUUGGGUGGUGAACUCAGCUAUAUUGCUGCACAAACUCUUGGCAUCAGAACAGUCACCCUUUAGUGGAGGCACACAGGAGCUGGCCGUGGAUGAGGAUCAAUCAAACUGGCAUCUCACAAGGGUUCCUGUGCAUGGCUGGGCUGCUCCAAUACACAGCUGUAUGCAGAAACAAGAACCACAACAAAAAUUUUAACUUCCAAGCCAAAAUGCUGCCCAACUCACAGUCACAUCAACAUUCAACCUAAUCUCUGGAUCAACCAUAGGGGGGAUGAAAACCUGUCAGCACCGAGGUUAAAAUCUUCCAGACGAGCGACUUCUCCCCAGAUGCAGAAAGCAGGGAGGAAAUUUGUAGCAGGAGUUUCCCCACAGAUGCCUGGCAGCAGGGCAAUGUUUGCCUGCACCAGCCUCUCCCAGGUGAAAGGGCAGCUCGAGUCCCUGCAGCGCGGCAGCCUGGGCACAGCGGGGGCACAGCACAGCCACCCAGCUGAGCGGCAGCAGGCGAGCGCCAAGAAUGGGAUGUUUUGUACCAAGACAGCUGGGGAGCACAUGAGCAAGGCUCAUCAUGCCGUGGGAGUGCCAGUGACACGAGACUGCAGACCUUGCUUUUGAAAUGGUCUCUCUCUUCAUGUUUGCUUUCCAAGUGUAAUUUCUCCACAACAAACUGCUAUCUGUUCCUGUAGACACUCCUCAAGCAAAGUCUGUGCUACCCAAAACUUUACCACAGCCAUGCUGUGAUCUACCACAAAACUCUGUCAUCUUUUCUCUGGGAGGAAAUUUCUGAAGGGGAUUGUCUAGGAUAGGUUUUAGGGGAAAACAGAACUGAACACACAAAGUAUGAAGGAUAAUUAAAUAAAAGACUUGGGAACAUAAAAGAGAGAAACCUUAGACAGGUUUUGUGGCCUUCUCCAGAGGACAGUAAAAUAACUGCAACCAUGAAUCCUUGUACAGGGGGCAGGGAGGGAGAUGAACACUGACAGGCCAAGGGGGCAGGCAGCCUUCAUUUUUGCCCCUUCCCAGGUUAAGGCAGGAGAAGCCAAACUGGCACUCACAUAGAAACAACAAUGCAUGUGUUAGUAAAGCUUCAAUACAAAAAUAACAGCAGUCCUCUCUGGUCUUCAGGUGCUUAAUGAAGAAAUUAAAACCUGCUGGGUGCUGAGCAGUCACACUGACUGUGCUCACGGGGCUGCUGACAAGGCCAGUUUGGCUCAGCAGCCAAUGUUACCUGGGUGCUCUCGGACAUUGCAGCUCUCUGCUGCUACACCUGCAAGUUAAAAAACAUGCAUCUGUAGCCACCUGGGAUGUGUCAGAAAAAAGUCACAAAAGGGAAACUGGAGUCUCACCUUCAAAAGACCCCUUACAGGAGGCUUUAGAAAUGUGAGGGAACAGUCCCUUAACAACUUAAAUUAGAUACAGGCAGUUCUGGAGCCAAGGAAAUCAUUCCACGCAUCAGGGCACUGUGUGCCACGUAUUGCAACAGGAGCUCACUCCUGCUUCUUGCCUUUUAUACCAUGACAUUGCCCAAAGCUAUCUUGACACACUGGACAGUUGUGUUCCCUCCAGCAGAUAAGGAAGUUACAGUAUCCAUAAAGGGUAUAUCCUGUACCAGAUAAAAGAAGAAAUCUAGUUAGCUUGGCUAACAAGCUAUGCAACAGUGUCUCUGGGACCUUCCUGCAUUACACAGGACCUACUGCUAUUGGGCCAGGCAAAGUGAGAUACCACUACACCCACCAGUAUCUUAUAAAGUCACUGUGGUAUCUGCCCUUCACUUUCUAGGAUCACAAGGGAGCUUUCAAGGUGGUAAAGCCUUUCUUUAGCAGACGUUAACUCAUAAAAAUCAAAUUACAGACAAAUACAUUUCACCCUGAACUGAAUACUCAGUUUGGAUGUAUGUGUUUUUGCUAGGGCUUGUUUUUUGGGGGGGUGGUUUUGCUUUUUCCAUUACCAAUCAUCUAUCCUGUCUACCAGAUUGGCACAGGGCCACAAGCAGGGCUAUUUUAAAAACCUUUUCCUAACCUGCGGUUGUAAUGAUUGACUCCACAUCUGCAGCAAUCCUAUAGCUGUCAGCAGUUUAGUAGAUUGCCUUCUGAGUACGGUCAAGGACUAACAAUAUUAAACUAGUCAAGAACUCAAAUGUCUCUGCAGGGUUGUAGGGGCUGUCACACACUAAUGCUUUCAGGGUAGUUCAUUGGCUCUCAGAAAUGAAAGCAAAAAUAUAGUAUUUGCCUGCCAGUAUCUUAGAGCAAAGAUUGUUUUUACCUCCUGGGAUUCUGGAUCUUCCUUUUUGUGUAGCAGAAAGCAAACCUCCCUCAAUGCUUCCUUUGCUGUAACACUCACAAAAGAACCCCUUGCAGAUGUUUAAAAACAUGAACCACAAUGGAUCUGUGGAUUUGCUCAUCAGAGCUGCAGUGCUGCCACAGCAAGGGCUCUUACUCUUCCUCAGUGAGGUCAGGUGGGGCUGUAUCCUUACUGCUACCCUGGACAUCAGGAGGAUGCUGUGAAGCCACAGUGAGCUUCACAAGCCAGCCAGCCAGCACCCUGAAAUGCACAGUUGAUACCUGUCCCAGGCAAUUCCUCUAAGGAUGGGAAGGGGCAGCUAUUUGGUUUGUCACACUAAAAUCCACAUAAAAAAUUUCUACUGCUUAUGGAAAAGUCACCUCAACUUAUUUCUGGGGAUGGCUUCCAGACUACAAUCAUUUGUUCUCAGGAGACUUUUCAUUGUUUAUAUAACACUUUUCUGUGAAAGAGAGUGCAGACUUCCAUUAUCCAGGAAGAAGCAGUGUGAGGUAAGCCAAACACAUGAGCUAUGGGGCACAGGACCACAUCAAAAAGUGACACCCUCUUGCAAGGCCCUUUGCUACAGACAAGUGCCACACACUGACACCUGUCCCACAAGCUGUGUGGCAAGACUGGGGCAUCUCUCCAGUCCCUGGUGCAGAUCCAAAAUGAAAUACCCCAGGGAGAACUGUCAGUUCUUUUCUUAUCAGCACCGGGGCAGGCUGAGUCUCUAGUUAAUAGCUGUGAGGAGUCUGCACACACAGUGUUUUGUCCCCAGGGCUGAAAUCCACCUUUUACCUGCACUCUCCCAUUUCCAGCCUUAUUUGCACCCCACAACCCACUGCAACCACUGGGCUGAGCCAACUGUAUUGGUUCCCCAUUGUACUUGUUGGAGGGCCCCAGCCACUCUGUCACUUUGCUGCAGCACCGGGAAUGCAUGGAAGAAUGUGUACUCAGGGAAAAUGGGCACUUGGCAAAGCUCUACCCUGCCCCAUGCUACUUUGCCAUCAGGAAUUGGUAUUUGAGAGGGAAGGGAGACCCUUCCAUCCUGAAGCAACCUCUUCAGCAGAGAAGACCUAAUUUUACCUACAAGCUAUGGAGAAUAACAUGGGUCUAAAUAAGAACAUUGCAGGCAUUGCUGCUGUCACAGCCCUUUAAAGGAACAGCUAAAGAGCCAGUAGUGCAGCAGAGAAGGUAGGUAGCACAUGACAGGCUGUACCAGCCCCAGCAGCCAUUGCCAAAGACCUGCCAAGGGUGAAACUGCCUCCAGCAUUCAAAAGGCACUUUUUCAGCUCACUUUUCUGGCUCACACAACAGAUUGCUGCAUACCUGGCAGAGGUGAGGUUUUUGCAAAAGGAACAAGAAGGAAGAACUGAGGCAAGACGGGAAGGAAGAACUGCUAGCGGAUGGGAAAGCUGGCAGCUCUGCACAGGAGACUUACACUGUACAAAUCCUCACAAGGGGUGGCAAGAAUACCAGCAAAAGCAAGUCGGGUGAAAUGCAGGAGGGACAGCUCAGACUGCUUUGUGCCCUAUGGGAAGCUGAACGAAAAGCUCUUCUCUACCUGUGUAUCAUGUCCUGCAGGCCAAAAGCUUGUGAAUCACUGAUGUUAAAGAAAAUCAGAAGGGAAAACAGCAAUAUACCCCAAUAAGGAUGUGUAUUUAGAGAGGUGCCUUACAAAAAAGCAGCAGCCCUCCUCAUGUUAUCAUGGGAUCAAUAUGCUUAAGAGACAGGAGGGUGUAAGGUCAAAGGAUGACAGCAGAGUCGCAGAUUUGAUUUCCAAUAUCUAUUCUUGUGUCAAGAUGUCAAGACCUGAACAAGUCGGUAUCAGACACAACUUACAUGAAGGUCAAUUGGACCUUCCCAGCCAAUCUCAACAGAUGUGGGGUGGGCAGGUGCAAACACUAACCUAUGCACUCCCAGGAUUCAAACUAAUAUAUCAAGGUUUUCACUUGCAAAACCCCUUCGGUAAUCAGGCUGCAUACAAAAAUGCAGACCACACUCACAAAUAAAUGUGCAGCUGCUUACCAGUGUUACGCCCUUUAUAUUGAGGGUGCAAGUCCACAGAUGCAACCAAGACGAGUGGAAAUUUCAUAAACAUCAAUUCAGUGAUAACAUUGUCAUCACAUUCCUUUUGUAUCAGGGUUGCAGAGAAAAGCCAUAAAACUUGUUUAGUUCCUCUUGCAAUGGAACACAUCAGCACUGUAUUCAUGCUGUGACAAAACCAAAAGACACAAGCAAAUACGGAUACAGUAGCCAAGCCAGGGUGUCAGUCCAGUUCUGCUGAAGCCGUGGGAGACAUAUAAGUCUGAGGAUCUGCCUGGUGUGUCUAGUAUGUGCUGAAAAAUGAGCAGCUGGUUUAAUGUCAAACUUCCUUGAAUCUCAAGCAACGAUUCAAUAAGAGGCUACUUGCAACUAGCAGAAAUGCACUCAUUUUGAUACAUAGUUGGAAAUUUGAUGCCUGAUGCCAACUGUUGCCAUAUCUGUCUCCAAAGCUGGUCUCCGGUGAGGAGCAAAAAAUGAAACUUCACCAUUCAUUCAAACUUGAUCGAAGUCCCAAAACCAGUUCAGUAACACGACUUGUCUCAUCUUCCCUCAGUUUAGGAAAGAGCAUGUCUUAUGGUAAUCUACAGGAAUUAGCUUUUGGGAGAAGACUAGCCUGCUGGUAGAAACAGGGCAUUUCCACAGGAUCACAGCAAGGUGAAUCAAAACAGCCACCAUCCUCAUUAACAGGCAGAUUUGCAACACAAGAGUCAGCCUGCAACAUUAACCUAACGCAAGAAGAGGCACAAGUUGCACUUACCCAGAAUGAAACUGCACCUGUGCAACUCUUGAGUCAGAGCUGUGGUGUGAGCCCCCAGGCUCUCAUAUUUUGGAUAUAGAUAUUUGAACGGGAAAAGAGAACGGAAGAAAUGCAUCUCUGUCCUUUCAGAGGAAUUCUGAGUAAGUACAGACUUCUGAACUGGACUCAUAAUCUUAAUGCACAAAGCACACUUUGAACAACAGACGCGUGUGACUCGAGUGAUACACUGGAGUUAAUGAAGCCUUUAAUCUACAGCACUGCCUGCAGAGUGAUCGGCACUAACUGCUUAGUGUGACCUCCCUGGGACUGGGAAGAGCGUGAGAGAAGCCGCACUUUCCAGCCUCCGAUAGUCCACCCUCUCACAGCAACAGCUACAGCAAAGAAUGUCAAUGUCAUAGCAAGAAUGCACAAGUUCAGUCUGAAAAAAUAAAUCGUGGCAUGUAACACUGGGCUCUAGCUGGCAUAAAUCAGCACAGCUUUUUGCCCAGUAGGCCCAAAGCUUUAGGCUUCUCCCAAAAGGUGGGACUGACAUAAAUGUUACUAAGAUCUCACUAAGCUUUCCUAAGGCGAUGAUUCCCUCCCUUUCUUCAGUGAGCUCAGGUGUUUAGAAAUCUUUUCUAUAAUUCAUUUACAUUCACUUGGAUUUUAUACAAGUGCCAUAUUUCCAUAAUUGUCUAUGCAGUAUAUAAAUGUGCAUGUUUACAAGCCUCCUGCAUAAUAAAAUCCCGAUGUAUGAUGUAUUUAAGUAAUGGGGGAAAUUACAAUGAAAACAUUGUAUAUAAACAAAGAGAAAAGUAAAAUUAACUCUCUACUAUAAGAAUUACUUCUAACUUAGAUGGUUGCUAACACUUCAUUCAUUAAUGCAGAAAUAAUACAUUCUCUCCUUAAGAACAAAGGCUGAAAUAGCUCCAAGUGUGAACUGGCUUUCUUGUUUUCAGCAGCAGUUUGAGAAUUAUAGAGCACACUUUCUAAUAAUAAACCUUUAAAACUAUGCCUAGACCUACUACUUAAACCUACUACUGCUACAGUUGCCCAUAGUGCAGAGUCUCUAAGCAAUGUGAUUUACAUCAGGUUUCCACACUCAUCUGGAUCAGUGUGGUUUGGCCCCUGUUCAGAAACUGAAAUCAUACCCACCCAGUUCUCCAGCCCUAUUCCAUAUUUCUUAAUGGUGAGUACCUUUCCAGACCGUAUCUUUCAGGUUUUUUGCCCAGUUUUUUGCAAAUGACCUUCAUCACAGUGACAUCCUGUGUCUAC